rnacentral:rRNA from 1 species
AGAGUUUGAUCAUGGCUCAGGAUGAACGCUAGCGGCAGGCUUAACACAUGCAAGUCGAGGGGUAUAGGUUUUCGGACCUAGAGACCGGCGCACGGGUGCGUAACGCGUAUGCAAUCUACCUUUCACAGAGGGAUAGCCCAGAGAAAUUUGGAUUAAUACCUCAUAGUAUUAUAGAGUGGCAUCAUUUUAUAAUUAAAGUUCCAACGGUGAAAGAUGAGCAUGCGUCCCAUUAGCUAGAUGGUAAGGUAACGGCUUACCAUGGCUACGAUGGGUAGGGGUCCUGAGAGGGAGAUCCCCCACACUGGUACUGAGACACGGACCAGACUCCUACGGGAGGCAGCAGUGAGGAAUAUUGGUCAAUGGACGCAAGUCUGAACCAGCCAUGCCGCGUGCAGGAUGACGGUCCUAUGGAUUGUAAACUGCUUUUGUGCGAGAAGAAACACUCCUACGUGUAGGAAUUUGACGGUAUCGUAAGAAUAAGGAUCGGCUAACUCCGUGCCAGCAGCCGCGGUAAUACGGAGGAUCCAAGCGUUAUCCGGAAUCAUUGGGUUUAAAGGGUCCGUAGGCGGUUUAGUAAGUCAGUGGUGAAAGCCCAUCGCUCAACGGUGGAACGGCCAUUGAUACUGCUAGACUUGAAUUAUUAGGAAGUAACUAGAAUAUGUAGUGUAGCGGUGAAAUGCUUAGAGAUUACAUGGAAUACCAAUUGCGAAGGCAGGUUACUACUAAUUGAUUGACGCUGAUGGACGAAAGCGUGGGGAGCGAACAGGAUUAGAUACCCUGGUAGUCC